GUGGGGAAUCUUGCGCAAUGGGCGAAAGCCUGACGCAGCCAUGCCGCGUGGAUGAUGAAGGUCUUAGGAUUGUAAAAUCCUUUCACCGGUGAAGAUAAUGACUGUAGCCGGAGAAGAAGCCCCGGCUAACUUCGUGCCAGCAGCCGCGGUAAUACGAAGGGGGCUAGCGUUGCUCGGAUUUACUGGGCGCAAAGGGCGCGUAGGCGGACAUUUAAGUCAGGGGUGAAAUCCCGGGGCUCAACCUCGGAACUGCCUUUGAUACUGGGUGUCUUGAGUAUGAGAGAGGUGUGUGGAACUCCGAGUGUAGAGGUGAAAUUCGUAGAUAUUCGGAAGAACACCAGUGGCGAAGGCGACACACUGGCUCAUUACUGACGCUGAGGCGCGAAAGCGUGGGGAGCAAACAGGAUUAGAUACCCCAGUAGUCC
rnacentral:rRNA from 1 species